GAUCCCUUAGCUCAGCGGUAGAGCGUCUGAUUCCAGUUAGGCAUCCAGAAGGUCAUCCGUUCAAUCCGGGUAGGGGUCA
rnacentral:tRNA from 1 species